GGGAAUAUUGGACAAUGGGCGCAAGCCUGAUCCAGCAAUGCCGCGUGUGUGAAGAAGGUCUUCGGAUUGUAAAGCACUUUCGACGGGGACGAUGAUGACGGUACCCGUAGAAGAAGCCCCGGCUAACCCUGUGCCAGCAGCCGCGGUAAUACAGAGGAUGCAAGCGUUAUCCGGAAUGAUUGGGCGUAAAGGGCGCGUAGGCGGCUUGUACAGUCAGAUGUGAAAUUCCCGGGCUUAACCUGGGGGCUGCAUUUGAUACGUGCGGGCUAGAGUGUGAAAGAGGGUCGUGGAAUUCCCAGUGUAGAGGUGAAAUUCGUAGAUAUUGGGAAGAACACCGGUGGCGAAGGCGGCGACCUGGUUCAUGACUGACGCUGAGGCGCGAAAGCGUGGGGAGCAAACA
rnacentral:rRNA from 1 species